UCUCAGCCUCAUUAAGUUAAUGUCUUUAAAUUACUAGAAUAUUUAUAUCUCUGCUAUUGAAUAAUUCAUUUACGGACCAUAUAAUCAUUUCAACCACUAUGAAGAAUCAUAAAGAACACACAAGAAAACCCUCACUUCUGCCAUAAACCAGUCAAAUACAAACGUAAAAAAUUGUUAAAUGUUCAAAUGUGUAACUUGGUCUUUAGAAAUAACACAAAAUAUGUGUUAGUAAUAUAAUUUAUGAACUGUUCUAAUUUAUCAUAGAGUUGGCUAUACAAGCAUAUUCAUUAAUUCAUUGAUACAGCUGAAUAAAAUUUUCUGUUCUAAUUUAUAGUUUCUUAAUAUUCUUUGGACAAGGGUUUACAGCAUACUAAAUAGCACACUACUAUAUAGACAUAUAUUCAUAUUCAUUUAUAUUUACAGCAUACUAUAUAGCCUCUCUUACUUAUUAAAGGAUAAUCAAAUUUUAAAACUAUCCUAGCUUUUAUAUUUUUUUACAACCUAUCAUUUGCUGAUGUGUCGAUUUCUCAUGCUUUCUUAGCCUACAUUUAUAACCAGUUUUCCAUUAGACUAAUUAUGAAUAAUCUCAUUGGUACUACACUACAAAAAAAGAAGUGAAUUACAUCACUUAAUUGGUAUCACAAAAUUAAAUGAUUCUAUUUUAAAUCACUUAUUUAUAAAUGAGACAAAUAUAUAUAAUUUAACAUCAGUUAUACUAAGUGAUGUUUUUUUUUAUUUAUUUGACAUCAAUUCAAUAAAAUGAUAUAUAUCUUUUGUAAUUUGUAUCACUUUAACAAAAUGAUACUAUUAUAUAUAGUUAUAUCAAUUAUAUAAAUGAUGUAUUUGUUUGUUUUUGUUAAUAUCACUUAUUAAAAUGAUACAAAAUUUACAUCAAUAAAAAUUGAUGCUAACAAAAAAUAUCAACUUCGAUUAUAACAACUGAUAUAACUAUUUUUUCUUUAAUGUCAGUUAAAUAUAAACGAUGUCAUUUGAUCUUAUUUUACAUCAUUUAAAAUGCUUGAUAUUAAACAAAACUAUUGUGCAUCACUUAUACAAUUGACAUAUAUAUAAGUAUAAUUUUUAUUGUUAUUUAAUUUUUGUGUACGCUAGAUAUGUAACUGCACCAACUCCAAAAAAUAGAGAUCACGGAAGUUACGAUUUUUAAGGCUUUGAUUUAUUUUCUUUAACUUAAUUAGAUAUUAAUCUUCCUAUAACUGCUUCACCUCAAUAAAGUUAUAUCUUGUUUUAUCGUGGUUCUCAUUCUGUCAUUCAUGGAGUUUUCAGUUUCUUAUAAACUAAGAGUUGAAAGGAUCGGAUACUAGGAUUUGCUAACCAGACGAAUCAAUAGAAAGAUUAAGAAAAGGUGUAUUUUCUUCAUCUUCUUCUUGUUUUUUUAUUGCUUAAAUUCUCACUUUUUCUUUUGAAACUUAAAGUAUUUAGAACAUUAAAUUCAUGGCAAAUUGAUCUUUCAUUAAUGUUAAAAUCAGGUACUGGAAGAGGUGAUGAUGUUAAGGAAAAGAGGAUGAUGGAGAAUUCAUCGACAAAUCUCGUUAAGUAACUUCACUAAUUAACGAGUAUAAUCUUCAUGCCACCAACAGAGAUUGAUGACAGAAAAUAAGAAAAAGGAGGAGGAAGAAGAAGAAUUCGAGUAAAUUUUCAUGGCUAAUUCAGUUGAACUGUUUUACUAUCUUUUAUUAUGAAUUUAUCUUUUUCUUGUUGUUUUUUUUUUUGAAGCUGCGCUAUAUAAUUUUUUGAGCCAUAAUGUAUUUAGUGGAACAAUAAUUAAUAAAAAC
rnacentral:lncRNA from 1 species